rnacentral:rRNA from 1 species
AUAUUGGGCAAUGGGCGAGAGCCUGACCCAGCCAUGCCGCGUGCAGGAAGAAGGCCUUCUGGGUUGUAAACUGCUUUUACCAGGGAAGAAAACGCUCCUGCGGGAGUAACUGACGGUACCUGGUGAAUAAGCACCGGCUAACUCCGUGCCAGCAGCCGCGGUAAUACGGAGGGUGCAAGCGUUGUCCGGAUUUAUUGGGUUUAAAGGGUGCGUAGGCGGCCCGUUAAGUCAGCGGUGAAAUCCCACGGCUCAACCGUGGAACUGCCGUUGAUACUGGCGGGCUUGAGUUCGGUUAAGGCGGGCGGAACUGGUGGUGUAGCGGUGAAAUGCUUAGAUACCACCAAGAACCCCGAUUGCGUAGGCAGCUCGCUGAGCCGAAACUGACGCUGAGGCACGAAAGCGUGGGGAGCG